GAUGAACGCUGGCGGCGUGCCUAAUACAUGCAAGUCGAGCGAACAGAUGAGGAGCUUGCUCCUCUGACGUUAGCGGCGGACGGGUGAGUAACACGUGGAUAACCUACCUAUAAGACUGGGAUAACUUCGGGAAACCGGAGCUAAUACCGGAUAAUAUAUUGAACCGCAUGGUUCAAUAGUGAAAGACGGUUUUGCUGUCACUUAUAGAUGGAUCCGCGCCGCAUUAGCUAGUUGGUAAGGUAACGGCUUACCAAGGCAACGAUGCGUAGCCGACCUGAGAGGGUGAUCGGCCACACUGGAACUGAGACACGGUCCAGACUCCUACGGGAGGCAGCAGGAGGGAAACUUCCGCAAUGGGGGAAAGCCUGACGGAGCAACGCCGCGGGAGUGAUGAAGGUCUUCGGAUCGUAAAACUCUGUUAAUAGGGAAGAACAAAUGGGGAAGUAACUAGGCACGUCUUGACGGUACCUAAUCAGAAAGCCACGGCUAACUACGUG
rnacentral:rRNA from 1 species